rnacentral:lncRNA from 1 species
AGCACUCUGACAGAAACACCAUUCUUAAUUCAGUACAAAUGGGAAACCUGAUGUUGGUAAAAAUUCAGGAGAAGAAUGAGAAAAUAAUAUAUAGAAAUAGGAAACUGUUUUUAGAAAAGCAUAUAUAGGGUAUUAUUAGAGAGAUUUGGGUAAGUCAGUUCAUAGCGUAGAAUCAUUAAGGUUGGAAAAGACUGCUAAGAUCAUCCAGUCUAACCAUCAGCCCAUCCCCAUCAUGACCACUAAGCAUGUCCCCACUAAUCUAAACUCUUCUUGAAUGCCUCCAGGAAUGAUGACUCUACCGCCUCCCUAGGCAGCCAUUUCCAAUACCUCCCACUCUAAGAAGGAUUUUUUCCUAAUAUCCAACCUCAGUCUAUCAACCAAAUCUCUGUGCGCCAAGGGGUACCUUUAAGGUUUCGAAUUACUGAAAUUAAACUAAGCUAUUCCUGAUUUAUAGCAGUGUAAACAAGAGGAAUUCAGCCCUGCUGAAGAUGUCUGACCUGAAAAACAUUAUGCAUUUUUCCAAUGCAGCUGUCUGAGUCAUUUUCCUUAUACUGUGUAAUACCUUAUUGUACCAACAGGCAGAGAGCUGCAUCUUAUAUAAUCAUCUCAUCUGAAUUCUAUAAGAUUUCCAACAGGGAGACUGAAUGAGCAGAGCAAGCCAAAAGAUAUGUAAUUAAAACUGA